AAUGUUCCUGCAGUGCAGUA
rnacentral:miRNA from 1 species